UGGAGACUCUGAGGAAGGAAAUACAGGAGUUACGUGUCCAGCGAGAAUUUGGGUUACAGCGUUUUGCUGGCUCCGACACUGACAUCCGAUUCUAUACCAGAUUUCCAAGCUAUGAUCAUUUGAUGGCAUUCUGGGUUUUGAUUGAGCCUUGCAUCUAUAAAAUGAUCCGGGUUUCAAGAGCCAAGUCAGCUGCCAAUCGGAACGAAGAAGUGUUGACACCUGCACGCACAUCAACAAGGCAGCUGCUACAGCCAAUUGAUGAGUUUUUUCUUUUCCUGGUUUUCCUGUCAGUUGGUUUGAAGGAGAGGGACCUGGCACACCGAUUUAACAUACACCAGUCCACAGUGAGCCGCAUUAUUGCAACAUGGACAAAUUUUCUUGCCACUGCACUGGGGUCUCAGUGCAUCUGGCU